rnacentral:rRNA from 1 species
GUAGGUGGCAAGCGUUGUCCGGAAUUGUUGGGCGUAAAGCGCGCGCAGGCGGUUCUUUAAGUCUGAUGUGAAAGCCCACGGCUCAACCGUGGAGGGUCAUUGGAAACUGGAGAACUUGAGUACAGAGGAGGAAAGCGGAAUUCCACGUGUAGCGGUGAAAUGCGUAGAGAUGUGGAGGAACACCAGUGGCGAAGGCGGCUUUCUGGUCUGUAACUGACGCUGAGGCGCGAAAGCGUGGGGAGCAAACAGGGAUUAGAUACCCUGGUAGUCCACGCCGUAAACGAUGAGUGCUAAGUGUUAGGGGGGUUUCCGCCCCCUUAGUGCUGCAGCUAACGCAUUAAGCACUCCGCCUGGGGAGUACGGCCGCAAGGCUG